UUAUCAAAAACAUGUCUUUUUGAAAAUAAUUUAAAGUCUAACCUGCCCAAUGAAAUGAUUGAAUGGCCGCGGUAUUUUGACUGUGCUAAGGUAGCAUAAUCAAUAGUUUUUUAAUUGAAAGCUGGAAUGAAGGGUUGGAUAAGAAAAUAACUGUCUUUAAUUAAUUUAAUUAGAAUUUUAUUUUUAAGUUAAAAAGCUUAAAUACUUUUAAAAGACGAGAAGACCCUAUAGAGUUUAAUAAUUAAUAUUAUUUUUAAUUUAAGUAUUAAAUCUAAAAUUUUUAUUAAUUAUUUAAUUGGGGUGAUUAAAAAAUUAAUUAAACUUUUUUUUAUUAAUACAUUAUUAAAUGAGUAAUUGAUCCAUAUUUAAUGAUUAUAAGAUUAAAUUACCUUAGGGAUAACAGCGUUAUUUUUUUUGAGAGUUCAA
rnacentral:rRNA from 1 species